GGCUCUUUGAGUAGAAAAGAUAUAGAGUCGGACCUGCCCAGUGAGAUUUUUUUAACGGCCGCGGUACUCUAACCGUGCAAAGGUAGCAUAAUCAUUUGCCUUAUAAUUGAAGGCUUGUAUGAAUGGUUUGACAAGAGUAUAGCUGUCUCUGUAUAAUUUUAUAGAAUUUUAUUUUAAAGUGAGGAAGCUUUAAUAGUAUUAAUAGACAAGAAGACCCUAUCGAGCUUUAAAAAAAUUGUAGGUUUUAAGAUAAUUUUAGAAAAUUAACUACAAGAAAUUUUAGUUGGGGCGACUUAGGAACAUGAAAAGCUUCCUAAAAUUUAGUAGUAAGCAAAUUUGAUCCAAAAGAUUUUGAUUAAUGAAAUUAGUUACCGUAGGGAUAACAGCAUUAUCUUCUUUGAGAGUUCUAAUCGAAAAGAGGGUUUGUGACCUCGAUGUUGGACCAGAAUGUCCUAAAGAUGUAGCAGUCUUUAAGGGUUGGUCUGUUCGACCAUUAAAAUUCUACG
rnacentral:rRNA from 1 species